rnacentral:rRNA from 1 species
GAUGAACGCUGGCGGUGUGCCUAAUACAUGCAAGUCGAGCGAACGGACGAGAAGCUUGCUUCUCUGAUGUUAGCGGCGGACGGGUGAGUAACACGUGGAUAACCAACUUCUAAGACUGGGAUAAUUUCGGGAAACCGGAUCUAAUAACGCAUAAUAUUAUGAACCGCAUGGUUCAAAAGUGAUUGACGGUCUUGCCGUCACUUAUAGCUGGAUCCGCGCUGCAUUAGCUAGUUGGUAAGGUAACGGCUUACCAAGGCAACGAUGCAUAGCCGACCUGAGAGGGUGAUCGGCCACACUGGAACUGAGACACGGUCCAGACUCCUACGGGAGGCAGCAGUAGGGAAUCUUCCGCAAUGGGCGAAAGCCUGACGGAGCAACACCGCGUGAGUGAUGAAGGUCUUCGGAUCGUAAAACUCUGUUAUUAGGAAAGAACAUAUGUAGAAGUAACUGUGCACAUCUUGACGGUACCUAAACAGAAAGCCACGGCUAACUACGUG